GAUGAACGCUAGCGGGAGGCCUAACACAUGCAAGCCGAGCGGUAGAGUUUCUUCGGAAACUUGAGAGCGGCGCACGGGUGCGUAACACGUGUGCAACCUACCUUUAUCUGGGGGAUAGCCUUUCGAAAGGAAGAUUAAUACCCCAUAAUAUAAUGAUUGGCAUCAAUUAUUAUUGAAAACUCCGGUGGAUAGAGAUGGGCACGCGCAAGAUUAGAUAGUUGGUGAGGUAACGGCUCACCAAGUCAAUGAUCUUUAGGGGUCCUGAGAGGGAGAUCCCCCACACUGGUACUGAGACACGGACCAGACUCCUACGGGCGGCAGCAGUGAGGAAGAUUGGACAAUGGGUGAGAGCCUGAUCCAGCCAUCCCGCGUGAAGGAUGACGGUCCUAUGGAUUGUAAACUUCUUUUGUACAGGGAUAAACCUACCCUCGUGAGGGUAGCUGAAGGUACUGUACGAAUAAGCACCGGCUAACUCCGUG
rnacentral:rRNA from 1 species